rnacentral:rRNA from 1 species
CCUACGGGAGGCAGCAGUGGGGAAUAUUGGACAAUGGGCGAAAGCCUGAUCCAGCAAUGCCGCGUGAGUGAUGAAGGCCUUAGGGUUGUAAAGCUCUUUUACCCGGGAUGAUGAUGACAGUACCGGGAGAAUAAGCUCCGGCUAACUCCGUGCCAGCAGCCGCGGUAAUACGGAGGGAGCUAGCGUUAUUCGGAAUUACUGGGCGUAAAGCGCACGUAGGCGGCUUUGUAAGUAAGAGGUGAAAGCCUGGUGCUCAACACCAGAACUGCCUUUUAGACUGCAUCGCUUGAAUCCAGGAGAGGUGAGUGGAAUUCCGAGUGUAGAGGUGAAAUUCGUAGAUAUUCGGAAGAACACCAGUGGNGAGCGC